rnacentral:rRNA from 1 species
GACGAAGGGGCUAGCGUUGUUCGGAAUACUGGGCGUAAAGCGCGUGUAGGCGGUGUUCAAGUCAGGUGUGAAAGCCUUGAGCUCAACUCAAGAAAUGCACUUGAUACUGGAUAACUAGAGGACCGGAGAGGAUAGUGGAAUUCCCAGUGUAGUGGUGAAAUACGUAGAGAUUGGGAAGAACACCAGUGGCGAAGGCGGCUGAUCUGGGACGGUUU